CAGAAAGGCCAAAGUGCAAAUUUGGUGAAGCACCCAAACAGGUGCCGGGGCUUCUCCCGUUUAAUAGAGACGGGAGAAGA
rnacentral:tRNA from 1 species